rnacentral:lncRNA from 1 species
UUUGGAAAACUCUUGGAGUUGCUCUAGUCCAAUUUUUAGAAGAUAUCAAAACCAAUGGAUUGGAGGAUUUGAUUGCUUUUAGCAAUUGAUUUGAUUGGUAUUAUUUCACAAUAACUCUUUUAAAUUUUUGAACUCAUAAAAAUCACGAGCAGACUCUCCACGCAUUGAGGAUUCUAGCUGGUGAGAUUAUGGUAGUACUCAUUGUAAGAUGGCGGCAAGGGCGAUGGGAUGUCGAGGAAGAUCAUCCAGUCAUGGCCCUAAUCGAUCAAUCGUUAGGCUAUCUACAAUGCCGCCACUUAGGUAGGCGCUCGUGACCGGUUAUUGUUUCCUUCGCCAUUGCGGACGUCUGCUGGGUGCAUUGCUGCUGCAGUGCUGCUUGAUGGAGCAUCGCUGCUCACACAAGAGUGCAAUGGUCGAAGAAUUCUAGCGUGGCGUGUAGAAACUAAUAGUUUGGGCGCGAAGAACACGAGAACCAUAUGUAAAAGUAUUUGAUCCCAUUAUAGGCUAAGAUCAUUGUAUAAUUGCUUCAUGAUUAUUCCUUCUCCUUCAAUAUCUAUUUAGAUAUCACACUAUCACCAAUAUCUUUAUAUAAUAAUUACCUCAUCAUAAUUAUUUCUCCUUCAAUAUCUAUUUAGAUACCAUAUUAUCCUCUAUUAUCUACUAUAGGUUCUGUCAACCCACGAGGUCGCCUUUAUCCAAAAAAAAACAGAGAAAAACUGCGACGUCACUGGACUGCACGCUGCAGCAGCGAAUCCUCGACAUCGUCGACAAGUCCAACCCCCGCGCACCGGCAGCGGCGACGGGCGUGCCCCGCUGUGGGUGGAGGCCGGUCAAGGACACAGGCGACCCCCACAUCGGGGAGCUCGGCAGCUGGGCGGUGGCGGAGCACGCCAGGCGGGCCAACGACGGACUGCGCUUCGGUAAGGUCACGAGCGCCCACGUGCAGAUCGUGGACGGGAUGAACUACAGGCUCUUCCUCGACGCGGCCGACGCCAGCGGGAUCAUGGCGGGUUACGGGGCGGUCGUGUACGAGCAGGAGCGGACCAAGCUCACGUCCUUCGCUCGCGCCGGCGAGAUUACAGGGAAUAACGUGGCCGGGAUGGCCGGCAGGUGCCUGGAGUGACACGACUGGGCAGAGGCGCAGAGUAACUAAGCUGUACUCCGGUCACUGGGAUGUACUUGCGGAUAUGCUCUUGUUGUGGGCUUGUGGCUCGAGCUAACAGAUUCCAACAAGAAGUAUUGGCAAAAUUCUAUUUCGAUAUCUUUAUUUGUGUGGCCGUGGCAUAACAAAUACUAAUAUAUUUUUUUCGACGCUGCAAAUGGCCGUGGCAUCGCACUCGCAUUUUGCUUUUGGCUAGAUGACCAACAAUCUCUUGGGACAUGUCGAAUGGGAUAGCAGAGAACCGCACAAAAAGCAAGACCCCAACCCCAUAUCAGGUUCCUGCAGUCCUGCACCACUGCUAUAAUGCUGUUGCCAUGUCCAAAUAUUCCACAUUCCACACUUAUAUUAACCGAUGCGUGGUGCAUAAGAAAGUGGCCUUGGCCAUUAUCAUAUCCAGGCACUCCCCUAUCACCUUUGGCCGGUCUCGCAUCGCUUCACAAACCUCUCUUGCCAAUGCACAUGCCCGCGCCUAUAUAAACCAAGCAGCCUCUCUCCACCAAUUCUAAGCAAGGCACAACUACUACUCAAAGCAUUUUUCUCUUCAGUUCUUUCACUGAAGAAGAUCGCCUGACCUGCUGCUGACCAAUGGACGGGGUGACGAAGCUGACUUCUCAGCACGCGGUGGUGAUCCUCAGCACGAGCUCCUGCAGUCCUAAGCUAUGCGCGACGCGGUGGCCACCCUGGCGCGGUGGCCACCUUGUUCCGAGAUCUCAGAUCUCGGGGUGAUCCCGACGGUGGUGGAGCUGGACGAGGACCUAUAGAUUUCCAUUUGGCACUAACACGACGGGCCGGUCCGAGCACGACACGAAGAAGCACGGCCCGGCAACGGCCCGGCCUGUGAGCCAUCGUGCCAGUGCCAGGCACGGCACGGCGUUAGUGCCGUGUCUGGACCACCUAUUCAGCCCGUAGUGCCGGCACGGGCACGACACGUUUAAUGGACCGGCCCGCAUAAGGCACGGCUCAAACGGCUAUCAGCCGUCGGAUCCUCCUCCCCCGCUCCAUCCGACCGUUGGCGGGGGCGCGUAUAUAAGCAAGGCCGCAGCACCCGCACCCCCCAUCCCUAACCCUAGCUCAUUUGUGCCGCUCCUCCCUCCCUCUCUCUCUCUCUCUUCGCUCUCUUUCCUCUCUCUUUGGCUCUCAGCUCUCUCCUCUGCAGAGCGACUCUCUGUCUCUCUCCCCGAAUCCCCUCUCUUCUGGCCUUCUCCUCCCCCUCCGGUGGCCUCCGCCGGCACUUGCACACGGCACGGCCAUGUAUACUCCUAUCACCUAUUCUUGAUCUCGCAUUCUCGCUUCGCGUUGCCCUUCUCAUCAUCUCCGUGUCGGCCUUGUCAGGUCUCGGCCCCGCGUCGAUCUCGCCGGAUCCGUAUUAGAACUCGUUGGAUCCGUAGUCAGUCUCGCUGGAUCUGGGCUUCGUCAAUGUCGCCGGCGACUCUGGUGCUCCGGCUAUCAAGGUAGGAAACCCUAACCCUAACCCUUGCUCAAUCGAUCCCUUAUCCCUAACCCUAACUCUUGUUUUUGUGUAGCCGUUGAGGAAACGGGACGCAGGCGUGUGAUGAUGGCCGGAUCCAACGAGGACGAGAUGGUUGAGGGUGGGUCGAACCAAGAGAGGCGGCUUUGUGGGUUGGCUGGAGAUGAUGACGAGGAUGACAUGUGCGAGGACGCCGCGGAGCUCUUCGGCCGUGUGGAUCAAGCUUCCAUCGUCCUCGAGCCCUGCGAUGACCAAGAAGUGGACAGGGACGGGGAAGAGAACAACGGUAAGUGCUCACGCCCCUCUACCUUGGCCGUGUGGCUUGAUUUCAAGAAGCUAUUCAAAAUGGUGAAUGGUAAGAAGGUGAGGUAUGGAGCUAAAUGCAUCCAUUGCUCUAAGGAGUACUCUGGGCGCUCUAGUGGUGGCACUGGUCACCUCACCGCCACAGGGAUAAAUGCCCUAGAAGGCAUGAGAAAACUCACAUGUCUAAGUCACAAAUCUCUUUUAAUCAUGAUGGUAGUAUUCGUAAUUGGGAGUAUUGUCCUAUAGUUGCUCGUACUCAACUUGUUAGACUGCUUGCUAGGCUUGAUGUUCCUGUCUCUUUGGGUGAAUCUUAUGCAUUUGAAGAUUACAUUAGAACUGCUCAUAAUCCUAAAUUUGUUGCAGUAUCUAGGCAAACCACCACUAGAGACAUGCUAAAAUACUUCAAUGAUUGCAAGGCUAAGCUUGUUGAGAUUGUGAAAUCUGCUGGUGUUAAUUGUGUGUGUCUAACCUCUGAUAUUUGGUCUGGUAAUGCCAAAGAGGACUACCUUAGUGUUGUUGCUCACUACAUAAACUCUGAUUGGCAACUAGAGAAGAGAGUGCUUGGUCUUAGGCUGAUUGAUUGUUCACACAAUGGUCAAAAUAUUGCUGAUCAUGUUGCAUCCGUGCUUGAUGACUAUUGUUUGACUGAAAAAGUUUUUGCUGUUACUUUGGACAAUGCAUCAUUUAAUGUUUCAGCCAUGCAAAAGCUUAGACCUGUUAUUUCUAAAUAUCUUGGUAUUGAAGUUGUGGAAGAUGAUAGGGAUGACAAUGCACAUUCAGUUAAUUAUUUGUUCUUGCAUCAGCGUUGUGCAUGCCAUAUUAUCAAUCUGAUUGUUAAGGAGGUUCUAACUGCUCUUAAGCCAUUGAUUGAGAAAUUUAGAAUUGCAAUAUCUUUCUUAAACUCAUAUAAUCAGAGAAUUGCUGCAUAAAAAAGUUAUUGCAUUGCCACUGGUGUUAGGCCUAGAAAGUUUCAGCUAGACAUGGAAGUUAGGUGGAAUUCUACAUAUCUAAUGUUUAAGCAUUUGUUUCCUCAUAAGGUCCCAUUCCCAACUUUCAUCAUUGCUCAAUAUUCUAGGGCUGAAGGUGAUCAGUUGCUUUUAACUGAUGAUAAUUGGGCUAUGGCAGAAAAAGUGCUAAGAUUUCUUGAACUGUUUUAUGAUGCUACAGUUGCAUUGUUUGGUGUGUACUAUCCUACAUCUCCACUUUUGAUUCAUUAUCUUGUUAAGAUUGCUAUGCACUUAAAGAAUUAUGCUAAUGAUACUCACAUCAGACAUGUGGUUCAACCUAUGAUAGAUAAGUAUAACAAAUACUGGAGGGACAUACCUUUGCUUUAUUCUUUUGCAUUCAUCCUAGACCUAGAGCUAAAAUGAAAGGUUUCAAUAGAGUGCUUAGGAGGUUGGGUACCCUUACCAGUACAGAUUACAGUGCUUACCAGGUUAGCACUAGAGCUCGACUUAAUGAUGUCUACAACAAGUAUGAGGAGAAAUAUGGAGGUGUUAGGUUGAGGAGGACUGUACCGCCUAACCUAUCUGGUAAGAAAAGGUCUGCUUGGGAUGAAAUUUAUGAUGAUGAUGAUGAUGAUGGUUCUGCUGGUGGCAUGCAUACUCUAGCUGCUACUCUAAGCAUGGCUAGAGAUACAUCUGCAACUGCCUUUGUCCAGGCUGCAAGUUCUUCAGGUGGUAAUGUUUCUGAACUUAUUUCUUACUUGGACUGUGACACAGUGAACCAUUUAAAAGAUGAUUUUAACAUCUUGGACUGGUGGCAUCAACACAAACUCACAUAUCCAGUGUUGUCAACCAUGGCUAAAGAUGAUUUUAACAUCUUGAACUGGUGGCAUCAACACAAACUCACAUAUCCUAUGCUUGAGUCUGUAAAGACUUCACUGAAAAAUAGUUUUUCGAUGAAGGACUUAGGGGAAGCGGCAUAUAUUCUGGGCAUGAAGAUCAGUAGAGAUAGAUCAAGAAGGCUUAUAGGAUUAAGCCAAGAUACUUACAUUGACAAAGUGUUGAAGCGGUUCAGCAUGGAAGAGGCAAAGAAAGAGUUCUUGCCUAUGUCACAUGGCAUACAUCUCAGCAAGACUCAGUGUCCUUCGACUGCUGAUGAGCGGGAUCGCAUGAGUAGAGUGACAUAUGCCUCGGCUAUUGGAUCUAUCAUGUAUGCAAUGAUAAGUACUCACCUAGAUGUUUCAUAUGCGCUAAGUAUGACAAGCAGACACCAGUCUGAUCCAGGUGAGAGUCACUGGACAGCGGUGAAAAACAUUCUUAAGUACUUGAGAAGGACUAAAGAUAUGUUCCUCGUCUAUGGAGGUGAGGAGGAGCUCGUUGUAACAGGUUACACCGAUGCUAGUUUCCAAACCAACAGAGAUGAUUCAAAGUCACAAUCAGGAUUUGUGUUCACGCUAAAUGGUGGUGCUGUUAGUUAGAAGAGUUCCAAGCAUGAGACGGUGGCCGAUUCUACGACAGAAGCCGAGUACAUCGUGGCUUCGGAAGCCGCGAAGGAGGGUGUUUGGAUAAGGAAUUUCCUCAUUGAGCUUGGUGUGUUUCCGAAUGUGUCCAGCCCAUUGAAUCUCUACUGUGAUAACAAUGGGGCAAUUGCGCAAGCAAAGCAGCCAAGGAACCACCAGAAGAACAAACACGUAAUGCGGCGAUUUCAUCUCAUUCAAGACUUCGUUAACCGGGGUGAGAUGAUAUGCAAAAUACACACGGAUCUGAACAUUUCUGAUCCGUUGACAAAACCACUCCCGCAGGCUAAGCAUGAUGCGCAUGUAAGAGCUAUGGGUAUUAGGUACCUUCUAGAUUAACUCUAGCGCAAGUGGGAGACUGUUGGAGGUAUGCCCUAGAGGCAAUCAUAGAGAUUAUGAUAUUCCAUUUGUAUCCAUGAUUUAUAUUGUGUUUCUUGAAUAUCCAUUAAAGGCUACUUGAAUUGAUUUGCAAUUAUGUGAAUUGUGUGUGAAAUUCUUUACUUGUAUGGUUAUUCUAAAGUUGUCCUUAGUCGGAGUUCAUGUGAGGACACACAUGAAUAUUAGACUAGCACAUGUAUUAGUUGAUGACUAUGUUUCACAAGUCAUGGACAUGGAGAUGUUGAACUAAUAAUGUGGGCACAUGUGGAGACAUGUGCUAGGACUGACCCAACACGAGAAGUAGUUCUCUCUUUAAACAACAUAUACGCUUUGUCCUUAGACCUGAGAUUGUCGCAUGUAUUCAAGAUGUGGAUCGACCUACUUAGGGGCUAUCAAACGCUACGCCGUAACAGGGUAGUUAUAAAGGUAGCUUUCGGGUUUGUCAAGAAGCAUGCUAUGAGACAUGGUCAAUCAAGAUGGGAUUUGCCCCUCUCUGAUUGAGAGUGAUAUCUCUGGGCCCCUCGAGUGAUCGGAUCCGAAAAUGCAUGGCCAUGCUACGUACGAUUAAGAGUUAACCUACAAAAAGAUUCCGAAUCACAGGAUCGAGAAAGAGCGGUCGGCUUGAAGCUAGACCAAAUACCAUGAGGCAAAGGGAAUAGCAUGUAUAUAAUGUUGUGAUGGUUCGUCUGAUAUGAUCUUCGUGUGCAUAUAGGAGUUGGCACGUCUUGCUAGAGGCCGCUACCGACUAUUGGACCGAGUAGGAGUACUCGGGCCAUGUCUAUACGUAUCCGAACCCAUAGGGUCACACACAUCCAGCCCAAUUCGGAUGUGAUCCGAGUUGGAUUAGGUUUAGAAGUACUAAUAGGCCUCGGACCCAGAGGCCCGUUAGGAACUUCUAUAAAUAGAGGGGUGGGGGCGCCCUAGGGUUUACGCCUUUUUGGCGAAACACAUCUGCCGCGCCUCCCACGCCCUCACCUGUUGCAACUCACGGAUCUAGCAGUCCGGCUUGCGACGCUUCCUCCCUGCACGUGUGGAUACCUUGGAGGUGUUGCGCCUGCAGCACUUGGAUGAGCCGCCGACGAGCCACGACGAGCUGCCGACGAGCCACGACGAGCCGACGACGAGCCGCGGCACGAGGGCGAUCUUGCUGCACGUGGACGAGCUGCUGAGGAGCUGCUGGACGUCGACGUAAUCGACUACGUACGACUACGCUGAUCGACUUCGCUGCAUCGACGCGAAUCUACAUCUUCCGCACUAGUGCGUCGAGUGGUAAUCCCGUGAUCCUUAUACGACAGUUUUCCUGUUUUACGCGGUAGAAAAUUUUGAUUUGCGCUAGUGUAGCCUACCUCGUAUCCCAACACCACUGUGGAAGAUCAAGGUGACCUCGUUGUUGAUUCUUGACCCCCCGCCCCCACCGCCUAGUUUCGAGGCGACUGCCGAUGUGGAAUGUCUCCCAGGUGCCUGCCACGCCCGACUCAGAGCUGCAACAUUCCUUUGCGGACGUCGUAAGGUCCUCCCCCAUGUGCUCGGCCGCAUCUUUCACCUCCACCGAUGACCCGCUGCAGCCUCCAACCAGGCCGCGCCUGAAGUCUACCACAACUGUGCCAGCACGGAACAAUUACUUCAUCGCUGACACCACGUCACCUUAGCACUACCGCCACUCCCUAGCACGAGCAACUCGACACCACUACAUCUCCUCGAGUGGUCAUGCCUCUGCUUCGGCCCUGCAAGCCUUCCGCUCCAAGACUAAUGGUAGGUGUUUCGUGUGCCUAGCUCCCGACCAUUGGGCUGCCUCAUGCAAAGAACCUGUUUGAUGCUUCAGGUGCCUCUGCUCUGACUACAGUGUGCGUGAUUGCAAGGUGCCCGACCGUUGUCGGGCGGUACGGACCAGGCGCCCUUGCAAGGGUGGCAACAUGAUAAGGACCACGAUCACAAUAGACAGCACAGAGGAGGCCGUCAGGGUUAUGACGUCAGCAAGAAUCUAGAUAGCAAUAAAGUGUACCACGAGCCGGAGCGCUCGCCUCAUCGUUGGGAUCAUGAUCGCAGGUCUGGUAACUUGAAGGACAAUCAGGCUCAACAAUCACCUCUCCCCUCUCAGCGUGAGUUUCUAUGUCAGGAAGGGAAUGCACUGUAGUGCCUCAUCGUGAUGCAGACAAAGGCACUCCAAGACGCUACACAAAAGCUGCUCAACCUGCUGCUCCUUCCCAAUACGAAGAUGGCUGCGAUGUCAGUUGAGGAACUUCUGUGCGACUACAUCGACAAAGCUUCUCGUUGGCUACAAAGCUGGGGGUGCUCGAGGCGCCGGGAGGGAAUACUGAUGGCUCCAUUCCGACACGUGAACAAGCAAGGAAGAGUAGACUGGCUCCGAUUUCGAUUCCAGUGAGCAAGGUGUUCGCCUGCCUCAACCCUUCCAUCCAAGCUCCACCCCAAGUUCAAGAGACUAAGGACAACUCCAUCACAGUCAUGGAGCAGGCCCUGAGGCACAUAGAGUUGGCGACGACAGUGGAUGCCUCAUACUAGGGACCACUUCCAACCUCUCCGAUUGGCAACACAGGUACCCCAUCGACUGGUCUUGGGGAUGUUGCGAGCUAGCACUCCGACACGGAAGACGGCGCCACUCGGGAUGCUAUGGACAGCCAAGCCGCAGGUGGCAUGGCCACCCUACCCUCUUCGUGACUCCGACCCAGCCAUUGUUGCAGCAGCCUGCUGCCCAGGUGACACAGCACCAUCGCUAGCUCCUUGCCGAUGCCGGCGAUGCACUUUUGACAUGUUAUCGGUACGACGCAGUGCGCGUCUCUCCACUGUACGUCUAAUGACUCAAAUGUAGCAAGCGCAACGUGACCUUUGUCGCAAGCUUGGUAUUUUAAAGGAUGAGGCUGCUCCAAUUCAGGUUGCGCUGCAAGAGUUUGUUGACAUGUUCAAUGGGCCCCUACCAGUGGAUGUGAUGCUGCUCUGAAUGAGAUGUUCAACCUCAACGACGACGAGGUCGAGGCGAUGGACCAUGCCCUAAUCAGCAUGGUUGGUGAAGGUGUCGAUGACCUACUAGAUGCAAUAGUACAUGAACCUGUUUGAGGUGAGUCUCCAUCUGGUGACAGAUGUAACAGUCAAGUAGCGGCCAACGAUGAUGUUGAGUUGCGGAGUUUGCGAGGAUUGUGUGGUGCCUAAUGUUUGGAAUAUUAGCUUGAUGUUUGGGGUGUGUUGGGUGGUGCAAUGUGUUUGUUGAGAUGCUUAGUGUUUGAUUGUUGUUUUCUCCAUUUUCUUGUAUUGAUCAAUCUGAUCGACAGCUCUCGUGCGUAGUUGGUUAAAAAAUAUAGAUAUUGUAGGCAGCAGGCCAGCAGGGCAGAAGUCAGCGCUUGGUUAAAAAAAAUAGAUAUUGUAGGCAGCAGGCCAGCAGGGCUGAAGUCAGCGCUCAGCACUGCAUCUGCGACAAAAUCCAAACCCCGCCGAAUCGCCUGAUAGAGACAAUACUACGAAGAUAGAUAUGAGAGAUGCGGGACAGCAGGAGGGUCGGACGGCCGAAACCAGGGGCUCUUCCAGAUGUCCUUGCUGACCCCGUGACGCCAUCCUCGUCGAUUUCGGCUCGUCCCCUCGUUAAAUUCCAGCGUCCCGCUUGGACCCAGCAUGUCCUCCACCUCGCAACGCAAAGCCACAACCAAAACCCUCCCGAACCAUGUCCGCGCCAGCUCUCCGCCUAGCCGCGUUGCUGCUCGCCACCGUCGCGAUCGCCGCCGCGCCGGCCGCGGCGGCGCGCGCGGGGCCGCGGCUCGCCGGCGGGUGGGGCCCGAUCAAGGACGUGAGCGACCCGCACAUCCAGGAGCUCGGCGGCUGGGCGGUGGCGGAGCACGCCAGGCGGGCUAACGACGGACUCCGGUUCGGCGGGGUGUCCCGCGGCGAGGAGCAGGUGGUGUCCGGGAUGAACUACAACCUCGUCCUCGACGCGACGGACGCCAACGGGGCGACCGCGGCGUACGGGGCGUUCGUGUACGAGCAGGUGUGGACCAACACCCGGGAGCUCAUGUCCUUCGCGGCGCUGAACUGACCAGGAACGUAAACGGCGGCCGGCAUGCAGUAGCUUGGAGGCUUGGAGCUUGCUGCUGGUUGGGUUAGAGCAACUAUGACCUCCGAUCCGAGCUUGGAGAUAUGGCUUGUAGUAAUAAUCUCGUGGGUCUCAAAGACCUCAAAUAAGCCAUGUUGGCAUCUUGCUACAUCGAUCUCUUUAUUUUGUGUGCGUAAGAGCAACUCCAAGAGUAUCCUAAAAUUUUUUUCCCUAAAACUAUGUAUUGGGGGUUCUCCUAAAAAAUUUUUUCCCCAAAAACGUAUCAAUCUACAGCAGAUCGCUAAUAAAUUGUCUCUAAUAUUUCAAAACAGGCCACGCCAUCGUAUUGGGCCCAUCAGAAGGGACACGCGGGUGUGCGAGAAUCAGGAUUGGGGGAGAAACGCCAACGCUAAAAUAUACGCGGUGGCAGGCUGUUUUUUAGCGUCGCUAUACAUAGUUUUGGGGAAGAAUUUUUUAGGAUACUCUUGGAGUUCAAGGGAAUAAGCCAUUUUCUUUUUUCUUGCAAAAAGAUAUGUUUCCUGGUUUGUGCUGCAAAUAGUCUAGCGCCUUCAGUACGCCUAUAAACUUUCAAAAUAUAAUUUAGUAGAGGUAAUUACCACCGUAGCUAGGUUCAAACUCAAGUGCCGAAGUUUUUACUUUGCCAAUGUAAAGUGCGGCAUGCGUGGUAUUUCAACGAGCGUGGUGGUGACAUGAUAGCCCGAAGACGUGCAAUUUUGCCAAGUAGUGCAUGCAACUUUGGCCUUCGGGUGCUACGCGCGGUAGCGAUGCACAUAAAAGAUUUUUCAACAAAUUAAAGCUGAGACGAAUAGAUAAAUGCUUGUAAAUUUUGAGUUUGAACUAGAAUUUGUGCAACAGGAAACAAAAUCCUAUCAUCGUUCAUCUAUGCCAUGUGUUUUAGUUCUCAUUCUUACUUUCACAUAUGGCUAGCAGGUUGUCAUGAGCAGGUCUUGAACCUUGUAAUAGGAAUAGGAGUGGGUAUAUGCUACCCUUGUUAUUUGCAAUAAUUGUAGUCAUCAUUUAUCUCCAUCAUGCAAUUGAGUUCUCGUUGUUACUUUCACAUAUGCCCAACAACCUUUGUUAUUUGCGAUUGUAGUCGUAUUCUUCGUGGAGAAACUUGUAUUCCUCUCCUCAGUAGUUAUUCACCCCCAUCAACUUGCUCCUGCCGGUGGCUCGCCAAGCACCAGCCUCUCGUCCUCUCUCAGUCUGCAAUCUCUUCAGUCUUCAUCAUGCUGCUGGUGUUCUCAUCUCCACCGUGUAAUGCUAAGGGGGUAUUUAGAAGGAGGGGGCUAAACUUUAGCCGUAUCACAUCGGAUGUUCGGAUGGAGGACUAAACCUAGAGUAAUUACAAAACUAAUUGCAGAAUCCCUAGGCUAAAUCGCGAGACGAAUCUAUUAAGCCUAAUUAAUCCAUCAUUAGUGAAUGGUUACUGUAGCACCACAUUGUCAAAUCAUGGACCAAUUAGAGCCUAAUAGAUUCGUCUCGCAAUUUAGCUUAGGGGUUGUGUAAUUAGUUUUGUAAUUAGUCUAGGAUUAAUACUCCUAAUUAGUGUCCAAACAUUCGAUGUGACGGGGGCUAAAAUUUAGCCCCCUCCUCCCAAACACCCCUAAAUACUAAUACAGAUGUUCCCAGCAAAAUAUGGAAUAAAACUGAGGGUGCAUCAGCUUUUAUCUUACGAGCCUGGUAAAGCUAAUCAACGUUUAAUUUUGCCUCCGAAUCGGUCUAUGUGCUUCAUCCGUGUGCCGGUUGUGACUUUUGUGGCUAGCAGUGAAAAAAAAAAGACUUCUGUGGCGAGGCCACGCAAACAUCAUUGGUGUGGACGGUGGGGCAACGGCGCGCACCCUGGUUUCCGCGUGCGACCGUGCGAGAGCAUGUGGCACGAGUACGACGGGCGUCACGGGAAUCCCCCCACCCCUCCGCCCCCGUCGCCUCGUCACACGGUUUUCAGGGAAAAAAAAUAUCCUUUUCCUUAACGAGAAGGAAGGCUCGGUUUAAAUGCCGUGCCCCCCAACCGUCUUCGACGCCAAGCAAAGCAGUCACGUCUCCCAGAUCUCCCCACCGUUGCCCCCCCUCUCGACCCAAUCCCAAGCCCCCACCCAAUCCGGCCAUGGCGAGGCGCAUCCUCCUCCUCAUCCCCCUCCUCGUCGCCCUCGCCGCCGCCGCCACCGUCCCCGCCCGCGCGGCGCUCGGCGGUGGCGGGGGCGGGCGCGGCCCGCUGGCGGGCGGGUGGAGCGCGAUCCAGAACGUGAGCGACCCGCACAUCCAGGAGCUGGGCGGGUGGGCGCUGGGGCAGGCGAAGGAGAAGCAGCUGGCCGGCGCCGGGCUGCGGUUCCGCCGCGUGGUGCGCGGGGAGCAGCAGGUGGUGUCCGGGAUGAACUACCGCCUCUACGUCGACGUCGCGGACGCGGGGGGCCGGAGCGCGCCCUACGUGGCCGUCGUGUACGAGCAGCUCUGGACCAGCACCCGCGAGCUCACCUCCUUCAACAAGGCGCGCCGCGCCCACUGAGUCACCGCUCGUCCAUGGUCCAUUCCGGCGGCCCGCCGCGGACCGGCACGGCGGCCGGCGACGACGGCGUCAGUGCCCUUCUCUCCUCUCCUCCCGGAUAAUUAUAUCUAGCUAAUACUAUUACUAGCGGUAUAUGUUGCGAGCGAGUAAGCGCUGCGUUUUUACUACUGGUUGUUGUGGGGUUAAUCUGUGCGAGUCAGCGGUGUGGAUGAACUAUGUGCUACAACUUCUACCAGUACUAGAGUAUAAUGAUGUAAUUAAUGGUUUGUGCCUGUCUUGACUCUUGCGUUAAGGGAGCUAUUAUUGUAGUUGUUGUACUCCUACCACGGUGUCCGUCUGUAGCUAGGAGAUAGGGGUUUCACGUGCCAGUGUCUGCGAGACUGCGACUCUGCGUGCUCGCCUUCACUGGUGUUUCUGGAACGGUAGCAGGGCGCGUGAAGCCCCCGUGACCGGAUAUGAACAUGCUUGCAUGCUGAUAGUGUCAAACAGCUGGAGCGAUUUGGAUGUUGCAGUCGACACCUUGCGUGCCUUCGUGAUCUCCUAGUAUGAGAUUGUAGUGCGUCGACCUCUGUUCUUUUUUCUAUUUUGUUUCUCUUUGGCGCUUGCGAUGAGGUCCUCUAGUCCUUGCCGGUUGGCCGCGGUAGCCCACGGAUGGAUCGGAGCAGGCGUGGUGCAGAAUUGACUUGCGAGGCGCUGGGUGGCUUGGCGUCUUUUUGUCGUUUGGACAGAUGCGAUCCGAUUCAGCAAAUGGAUCGGGGUUCAAAGUCGCUCACACUCAUCUCCAACAGAUCAUUUAUUUUUUCUCUCCAUUUGAUUUUUUUAUCAAGUUGGUAAAAUGAUUUCUCUCCGUAUUGAGUUUCUCGUUCCAACGGACUAUCCAUUUCUCACUCUUCAAAUCCCAACAGUUGCGUUCCUUUCUAAAAAUAUACACUCUCCAUCCACUCCAAUAGUCUCUUCAUUUCGCACUACAACAACCUCUCCAUUUUUUGCACUCUUCAUUCUAGCAAUUACUGCGUGUGGGAUCCACAAUUUGUCAAGGCAAUUGACUUGUCAAAGGCUUGUCAAGUUUGACACGUGUGAGGGGAAAGUAGCAAGUUGGAUGGGAUGGGGAGUCAGAUAGCAACUCUGUUGGACCAUAAUUUUCUUCUUAACUUUCAAAUUUUAGCUUGGUAAGUUGAAUAACAACUUUCUCGGAGUUGCUCCCACAUGCAGGCCACACCAUGGUAGGUUCCAAACAAGUUGCUUAACGGCUUUCGGGCCGUCGCUCGAGCCGGCAUCAGCACAAUUUUUGGGAUGAUAGUUAGAAAAUCUUCACUGAUGUUCCUUGAACAGUACGAGGGCGCGUGAACGGAUAUGCAUAGCUCAUGCAUGCAUGGUGCGGACUUGAUCACUCAAGUGUCAAACAGCUGGAGCGAGUUUGAUGUUGCAUUGGACUCCUUGCGUGCGCUUUCGUAGUCUGGAGACUGUUUGUGCGCCUACGGAUCGCGUAGGCGCGGCGCAGAAUUUAACGGGUUACUCGGGCUAAACUUUAAUCCCUAUUGCAUCGAAUGUUUAGAUACUAAUUAGGAGUAUUAAAUAUAGAUUAUUUAAAAAAUCCAUUGCAUAGAUAGAGGCUAAACGGCGACACGAAUUUAUUAAGCCUAAUUAGUCCAUGAUUUGACAAUGUGCUGCUACAAUAACUAUUUGCUAAUGAUAGAUUAAUUAGCCUUAAUAGAUUCCUCUCGCCGUUUGGCCUCCAUAUGUGUAAUUAGUUUUAUAAUUAACUCAUAUUUAGUCCUCCUAAUUAGCCUUCGAAUAUUCAAUGUGACACGGACUAAACAUUAGCUUCAGGAUCAAAAACCCCCUUAGGCAGUCCCAACCCAAUUCCAUAUAGUUGCCAAAUCAGCGGGACCUGAACCCUAAACUGCACCGCAUAAUGCAUGAUUUCUAUAGGUGGAUCCAUGAUAAAUUACAUCAAAUCCGAACGGCAACGACGGCAAGCGGCGGGCGGCCACGGGGCCGUGGGCAGCGUCGACCUUGCGCAGGCGGCAGCGGCCCAGGGUGAGCUCGCGCAUAGUGGCAGCAACGGGGCUGGGGGCGGAAUCAAGCAUGUGUGCGCGACGUCUGGUUGUGGAGGUGUUGUGGCGAGCGAGGUUGACUGCCGCUUACUCUGUUUGGUUGCGUGUUAAUUCAUAGUUUUGGGAUGUCCGUGAGCUUGUGUUGACUAGAAUUUUGUUGAUUUUUCGUGCUUGGGAGUUCUUGGAUUGGAUGGAUUUGGUGCUCUUGCUUGUUGCGGGUGGAUUCGAGGAGAAGUUCGUUUGCCUGCUUGUUGCUCGGGCGUGGCGGCCGCAGCCAAGUGCGGGCGGUGGGGCCUUCCGUGGUCCGCAACGAGCCAGCGGGCGACGGUGGCGAGCUGCAGCAGCACGGAUCCGUCGUGGGGCUGCAGGGCGCGGACACGGCGGUGCUGCCAGCGCGUAUGCACGGCGGUGUGGCAGUAGGCAGGACGGGGUCUUGCAAGCUUCGGUGAGGGCCAAUGACGGCUGGGUGGCUCGCCGCGGACAUGGCGGCGGGGCUUCGCGCGCGGACGCGGCAGCGGCAAGGGCUGGGUUGAGGGGCGGCGCGCGAGCUCCACCGAUGGAAAUGGGGUGCUCGCCCCCAACGCCAAAAUAGCAAUUUCUUUGUUCCUCGUCGCGGGUGUAGACGUAGGGGGCGAUUGGUAGCAUGGUUCCUGCCUGCACCGUAUCCCCAGAUGCAGCAUCUUUGUCUUUUCUCAUGUUUGGUAGCCUGUAAGCCAUACAUACAUGUAUCCCACGAUGAAAAAAAGGUGCACCGCGUGGAACGGAAAUUUCCUUCGUUCCAUGCGAGCCUGGCUCGCUCUAGCGCCGAGGGAGAGGUUACACUCACCUCCCGUGACCAAAUGUUCUUCCCCAAAUCUUUUUUGCCCAUGCUCUUCUUCUUCCUGUCCGCGCAGGUCUGCCAGCAAGCGGGGGCGACCCUCCUCCCCAUGAACAACGAACAACGAGAACGCGAUGAGGCCUAGAGCGGCGGAGGUGAACGAGAACGCGAGCCCAAGUGUCCUGUGCCGGCAUGAGCCGCAUCGCUGCAGAAGAAGAAGGUGAUGUGAGUGGAAUGUCGGUCCAAGCCACCCACUCUCACGGUCGCGUUGCAAGUUCGCUCCGUGCUCACGGGAGGUGAGGAGCUUGGGUGUAGGGGACGACGUUCUUGGUGUCGAAGGCGAGGAGGCCCUGCGUGGUGGCGACGUGCACAUUGUCGCAGCGCAGAUGCGUGGCCUGCGCGGUGAGGUUGUCAAGGUGGCGUUGUGAUUACUUAAGCAAGAAAUGGAGCUUCUUGUGAAGCAAUCGCUUUGAUUUCUCAAGCAAGAAAUGGAGCCUCUUGUGAAGCAAUGGCUUUGAUUUCUCAAGAAAGCAAGAAUCAAGCAAGCAGCUGGCUGAUGAGAAAUAGAGCUUCUUGUGAAGCGGCUUGCUCGCGGCUUGCUCACCAGCGCCGGCGACAAUGACUUUGACAAUAGGUUGGUCAGCGUGCUCAUGGCCGCACACCGCUGCGUGAGCUCGAAUUGUCGUACGAGGCGCUACCCUUCAACGCAGCGAAUUCUGAUGUGAUGUGAUCACAUAUUCUUAUCUCAAAGGAGUAUCGAUUGAUGAAUUUCUCCGCCUGUUGGUUGGAAUCUUGGGAUGGAGUUGGUUGACUUGAUGGUGUCCUCCUUGUGCUCGUGCAAAUGCCUGUGAAGGAGCUAGCAUCUGUUAUUAUGUGUACUCCUUGAUUACUAUGCGUCCGUGUUGUAGAUUGUGAGUAGAGUAAUGACUUGAUCUGAGAUUCAGCGGGAAAAGUAAAGAUAAAAUUGAGAAAAGGGGAGCAUGGCAUGAACAUAUGGUGGUAAAGCUACCAUGCCUAAGUGCAAGGUAAGCAUAUCAUCUUCAUGCAGGCUACCAAUCAUAGUCUAGACAUAGCCUGGCUAACUUAAUCAGCCUACCAAACAAGACCAUACAAAAAGAUGAUGCACCUCCUUAGCCUGGCUCAAGAGGGCCUGUCUCUACGGUACGGGCCAGGCCAACCUCAUCAGGCUGCCAAAGACCUGGGCCUGUCCCGGUGGAUGCAAAAGAGCACGCUCAGUCUGGCUCCCGGGAAACGAGUUUCAUUUCCGUUUCCCGCGAGCUUGGCUCACUGCAUGCGAGUUGGCUUACAGCUAAUGACGGUACCGUCAUUAGUACGUGGUUAGUAUGUAUUAGGUAAUAUUAGUGUUUUCUAAAGUUCAUUAAAACCUGAUAAUGUAAACUAAGAGGUAUUAUAAUAUAUUUAUGCAAAAUAAAUAUUAUUAUGACACUUGUCUUGAAUUUUUUCAUCUCAUACGAUGUUUCUCGUGCGAGCAACCAAACAUAUUCUAUCUACAGCCUGGGUGGAUGCAUACAAGCAACCAAUCAAACUGUUGUUGCAUCCACUGAACCUAGCUCCCAUAUACGAGCCAGGCCAUGCUCAGCGGGAAACCAAAAGCCCUAUAGUUUCUCAUGUAGGAAAUCGUUUCCUUCUCUCUCCUCCUUAACUCUCUUGCCAUUUCACCAAAAUGCUUAUGUGGUAGUUUCAUAAAUGCUAUAGAAAUUAUCUUACUAGGAGGGUUGGAACUGCCCUUACGGGCCAGUAGUUGCUUGCGGUCUUUGUUGUUUGGACAGAUGCGAAUAUGCGAUCCAUCAGCCUCUGAAAAUGGCAGAAAACUGUACGUAGAGAUGUAUAGUUUUUUUUAAAUUAAAGGUAGGAGCACUAUCAUGUCAUUUGAGAAGGAUCAGAAGUUUCAAGCUUACAAAGGUUUGAUUACAUAGAAAUCUAGAGAACUUAACACUCGAACCACUAAGCAAUACAUAAUUAAACUACGAUACACAUGGGCUGCCGCAAGCUUGACGCCGCAGCUCCAUCUCUUCGAUGACGAGGGACUUGACCUGCAGCGGCAAGGCAGCCACCCCCUCGAAGCUUCGCAUGUUUCUAUCCUUUCAAAUAUUCCAAGCCGUGUAGCAUCAACGGUAAAAGCUCAAAUAGCAGUAAGGGUGGGACCCACUGAGAAGAGGCUUUUGCUAUUUCUAUACGCACAAUGGGUAUGGUGGAACAUAGCAUUAAGGUGGGGCCUAGGUUCCAAUAAAAGUUCCACCUUAACUUCCCUUCGCUUCCUGUGUUCCUAUUCCCGUACGUCCAUUUGCAUGUUGGAGAGAGAAUGAACGUGACAGAGGGGACAGAUUCUUAAUCUUUUUAUCCUCUUAGGGUGGACCAUAAGCGGAUCUGUUCGCUUCAGCUUAUAAGCCGGCUGAAAAGCUGAAACGGCUGAUUUGUUAUGAGAGGAAAAUACUGUUUGGUGGCUAAUAAGCCAGUUGAAUAAGCUGAAGGAAACAGGCCGAGCGCCUUUAGCUUUUACUAUGACCUGCUCCACAAUGGUAGUGGUGCACCACAAGAGCUUAUUGCUACUCUUAUGUUCUCCAUUGUGGCUGCCCUUAGUGCUGCAGCCUUGAGCCUCCUCCGAUCUUUCGGCAGUGACCUAAGGGAAGUUCUCCACCAACCCUCGAUGCUAAUGUUUGCUGCCGGUACCUGCACAAGGUUGCCACUCCAUACUCUGAUACAGUUCCAAACCUGUAGCGCGAAAGGACAGUGCAGGUAGAGGUGUUCAGCGGUCUCUGGUUGAGCAUUGCACAUUACGCAUGUUAGGUUACAGGGCCAAUGUCGCGCGGCUAACUUGUCAGCUGUAAGCAGUUUACUUUGGACAAGAAGCCAGGCGAAGAAUCUGUGCUUGCCCUCCGAUUGCGCUGACCAAAUUGAUGAACCAUCAAAGGAGGAGUAGGAUCCUUGGAACUGAAUGGAGUACGCUAAUUUGGCGCUGUAUUCUCCAGUUGCUGUCCACCUCCAUGAGAUUUCAUCGGGCGCAGCAGUGAACUGAAUAUCCUGAACAAGAUCCCAAAGCUGAGGGCCUUUUUAGCUCCAGGGUGUUAAAGUUUAACACCCAUCACAUCGGAUGUUUGGAUGCUAAUUAGGAGUAUUAAACAUAGGUUAAUUACAAAACUAAUUGCACAGAUGGAGUGUAAUUUACGAGACGAAUCUAUUAAGCCUAAUUAGUCCAUGAUUAGUUAAUCCAUCAUUAGCAAAUGGUUACUGUAGCACCACAUUGUCAAAUCAUGGAACUGCAACUUAAGCACAGGGUUCUGCAAUUAGUUUUAUAAUUAGCUCAUGUUUAGUUCUUCUAAUUAGCAUCUAAACAUCCGAUGUGACACUGUUAAAGUUUAGCCCAUCGUAUCCAAACACCCCUGAAUGUAUGGAUUGUGGGCAGCAUAUCUGUGGAUCGGAUCUGGAUCGGGUGCAGUGAUAACUGUUACUGCAACUUAAGCAGUAUCACCAACAUCUGCCGUCCAACAACCACUCAACGCUCCGGAUUGAAUGUCCUUCUCAAGACUCUUCCUCCUCCUCCAUCCACUGCAUCCAUCCUAUGGCGAUUUGUCUGUCUCAGUCCAUACACAGCACCAAAACGAAAUCAAUCUAAGAAGCCAUGGGUAAGAGAGAGGAUGUAUGAGCAGCUUGGCUAAAACUCUCUACUCCACGUACAGAUUCUUCUUCUUCUCGCCUCCAUGAACCAAUUCUUGUUUGUUUCUCUAUUGACUUAAAUCAGAAAACAAGAAACAAAAAAGAGACAAAGAAACGUUACAAGAACAAGAACACCGUCUCCUGUUACAUGCAUUCAUUUCAUUGGCUGCUCAAAUCCAUCGGAUCACCAAGCCAUUCUCAUCAGCUUAGCUUCCUCAGAAGUCAAAAUGGCAUAAUUUUGGUGGUCUUGAAGUCCUACCCAGCGAGGCAGUUCUUGCCGCUCAUCCUGUAAAACUUAAGCACCUCCAGCACCAUCUGCCUCACCGCCGGAGAGCACCAGCUUUGCAUCAGCAGCAGCAGCAGCCUCGUCAGCCCGCCCUCCUCCGUCGCCUGGUGGUCUCGGUACCGGUGGCAGACCGACUAGAGCACGGCCUCCGCGCCGUCGCGCCCGGCCUUCAAUCAUCUUGCCCACCACUACUGGGACGUCCUCGCACAGCGCGGCACGGCCCUUGGUGCACCCGACCGCGAACUCGAGGAUCCAAACUCCAAAGCGUCUUUUUUGCGAACUCGGUGAACGGAGGAAGAAGAUGAACGGAGGAAGAAGAAGAGUCUGCUUAAGUUGCAGUAACAGUUAUGAUAGUGUGCGGCUGGGCGCGUAUAUUGCACUACUCACACUCUAGUCUAGCGUCAAACAGCUGGAGCGGUUUGGAAUUUGGGUGCUGUGAACGCUUUUUUUUCUUUCCAAGUGAUGACGAAAGUCCGUCAAAGGGGGGCACGAACGUUUAUUUCUACGUGCGCAUCCUUUUUUUGCUACCACGGUUGGAGUUGGCGCGGCGCAGAGUCGACUUGCAAGCCGUGCUAGCCCGUUUUGGACGAAGGCAUACGAUGGGAUCAGUCUCGGUCUCGCCACGGGGUUGCCGCGGGGUCGUGCUCCGUCCUGUGCCGGGCCCGGGCGCGCACGAGGGCACGGUUCAGGCGGUUGGCAUUUUUCAAUUUUCAGACACAGUUCAAGAUCAGGGCGUCAGGUUGAGAGCCUAGAGUACGGUUCUGCUUGCAUCGGAGUACGCGCCUGGAGUUGCUAAAUUUUGUAGCUAACAGUUUGUGGUAGGACGACGAAAAAUUAUAGUUUAGUUUUUAACGAACAGAAUAAGAGAAUUUUAGACCUUGUUUAGUUACCAAAAUUGGGAGUGCCAAAAUUAUUGUGCUGGCACUGUAGCACACUGUAGCGUUUCGUUUGUAUUUGUGAAUUAUUGUCCAAACAUUGACUAAUUAGGCUCAAAAGAUUCGUCUCGCAAAGUAUAACAAAACUGUGCAAUUAGUUUUUAAUUUCAUCUAUAUUUAGUACUCCAUGCAUGUACCGCAAGUUUGAUGUGAUGGGAAAUCUUCUUUUUGCAUAGUGAUAAAGUUAGGAGUUGGGAGUGAAGUAAACAAGGGCUUAGUGUAGUGCGUACAAUCUCUUCUUUUGGCUACGUGCAUGAGUGCAUGUUUUGGGUCUCUCUUGUUUCAGUAGGCAUACGUUUGAGUGAAGAUGCCCUUUUCAACAGAAUGUGUACAAUUAAGGUCCCGUUUGUCUGCAAGAAUCCGUUUCUUCCAAGAAUCAUUAGAAUUCAUUUUUUUGAAGCGUUUCAAAUUAGAAAUGGGAGAAACGUUUCACUUUUUUACACUAUAUGGGAGAAACUAGCAAAAAGAUUCAGUUCCCUCUCAUUUUAACUAUCAUCUCAGAAUCUAUCGAGUGAGCCAAAUGAUUUUAGUGAUUCAUUGAAGAUUCAAGGUAGAAACUGAAUUUGAAAUAUUUCUAGAUGAAUCCGGAACCGCACCAAACGGGACCUAAGCAGUGCAGCGUAAAAAGAAAAUGUUUUGCAAUUUAUGGGCGAAUCAACGCGGGUACAUAAAAGUGGAGUAAACGGCAGCGUAUCUGUGAUCAGAAAGCAACGCCACAAAUGGGAUGAAAAAUGCAUUAAUUCAUAAUACAAAUUGAAGCAAUAGUAAAAGGCCUAACGUAAAAGGCCCAGUUGGUUAGAACGCGAGGAGGAAGGCAGAUGGGCCUAGCCCAAUUGAUUAGCACUCGGCCACACGCACGUGCUGGGAAGCAACUUGAAUUGAAGAUCGAUCGAGUUUUGAUUUUUGAAAUGGACAGGACAUGUUUUGAACUCAUGUCAUGAUAAGAUUUUCUUUCGAAAGGAAAAUGUUAUAUUAAAAUCGAGCACAAUACAUUCAUUAUAUCCCUUUUUGAACUCAUGUCAUGAUAUGAUUCGAGUCAGACAUAAAUGGAACGUUGUCUCCGUAGAUUUAGUUUUUUGCACACAAAAAUAGCAAUUUCAGAUCUCUCACCUUCAGCAAAACUGCCAAGGAUCAAAGGAGCGCUUCUUCCUCGUGGAAAAUAUAGCAAAAAAUGCAAAUCCAUUUUCCUUAGCGACCAAGGUAACCUGACCUGCCGCCUUGUCCCCGCGGCCCUGCCGCAGCUACUCCCGCGGUGAAGCCGUCUGGAACAGCAGGACAGACAGCCACAGGCCACGGAGUCACGGACACUGCGUCGUUUCAAAGCCACCUCCCACCCCAUUCUUUCCCUCCCUUUCUCCUUCUCCCGCCUCCCCAUCCAAAAUCCCCAAAUCCACCGCCGCCGAAGCCAUGCCUCCGCCCCACCGGAACCCCCUCCUCGUCCUCCCCUCCGUCCUCCUCCUCCUCAUUACCUCCGCCGCCGCCCUCUCCGUCUCCACCCCCGUCGAGCUCACAGGUAAGCACGCUUCCGCCUCCCUCCCCGCCGUCGGCGCACCCAAAGCCCUAACCCUAACCCCCUCCUCUCCCCGCCAUCUCGCAGUCACCUCGCACCCGCCGGCCUCCGUCCACCUCCCGCCCGCGCGAUCCAUCUCCGGUGCCGAUGGCGGCGCAGCCGGCGGGCCCUACUGCACGCGCGUCCUCCUCAGCGGCCGCCCCUCCCGCCUCCGGGACCCGUCGCGCUUCUUCCACGCGCUUCGCCUCCGCGCCAACGCCACCCGCCCCCACGGGCUCGAGCUCUGCUUCCACCGGUAAGUGAGAUGGGAACUAAACCCCUGGCAUUUUUGGUGUAUAGCUCUAGUUAUAUAUGUUUCUUAGCCUAAUUUCGUUGUGUUGCACGCUUCGUGUUUGUAGGAAUGCCACAGUGGGGCCGUGCAAGUGCGCGGCAUCUCAGUGGCAGAAGAUGCCCAAGAGCGGGCUCUGGGUGCAAGCCAUCUCACCGUACGAUCACCGGAUUCUGGAUUUCCGAAUGCCAGCUGACCCUUCAAGGUCCGUUGUUGUGUACACUGAGGAAGGUAUGCUUUCUUCGGCUUCCUUUGUUUGAUGCAGUUCGUGCUUGGUGCUCUUUUUCUUUCCCCAAUUCUUGAUUGUGGUAUGCAUCUUUUGUUGCUGUGUUUUCAGAGUUCUUGCUCCAUAGGGUGGUGUUCUUGGUGCUGGGAUUGGUGCUGAUGGUGGUGGCACAUACAUUGAGUGAGUCUGUGGUGUUCUACUAUGGUGGAGCGAUGACGAUCGGCAUUUUCCUUGUGAUACUGAUUAUACUCUUUCAGGUGAGUUAUAUUCCUCUUCACUCUGUUCUAUAUAUGGCAAAUGAUCACUUGAGCUGAUGGUUGGUACUGGUAUUGGUGGGUGGCGUCAUUCUUGUAAGUUCAAUGGAACUAACUUACUGUCUAAUUUUCAACUGCUAGUUAGUUUCUGGAGUAUUUGAAGUGUCAUACUUAUAUGUGGAAUUGCCAAGGAAAAUCUUAUCACUUCCACUCUUUACUUAUAUGUUAUAUCACAAAAUUUCUUUGACAGGGUUUCCUCACUACUCCCUCCGUCCCAUUUUAAAUGCAUUUGUAAGAUUCAAAAUUUGUCCAAAAUUAUACGCACAACAGAGAUUCAGGGUCCAAAUAUCUCCGGCUGUGCGUUGUAUAGGUGGGUCCCAGCACAUAAAAAAUUUACUGAGCCAAACUGCCAAAGUCUGAAACGUUUCAUUGCUUAUAAUAAAAAAAGCAAGCUGAAAGGUUCUGAACCUUCUCGGUUGUUCAGCACCGCUUGUUUUCUUAUAAAAAAAAAGGCAAGCUGAAACUUGAGCACCGCUCAUUCCUUCUGAUCCUCUGGCCCCAGCCUCCCGCACCGCUCGCUCAGGGGUACUAAUGUCAUUUCCUACCAACACUAAUUUGUCCAUUCAAAUCCUACAAGUGCACUUAUACUGGGACAGAGGGAGUAUGAAAUUGGGCUUUGUAGCUUCUCUGUUUAAUUAAUUUGCUUCAGGUGGCAGUGUAGGAUAGUUAAUAUUCAUUGUUGUAUGCUAUUAUGCUACAGUCACAUAACCAUGUUUAUCGAGCUAUGUUCUGUAAGGAGUAUCCAGAUGCUUGUGGCUGUGAUUAUCUUCUGAUAGACCUGCUCUACUACAGAUAUGAAUGAACCUAAGUUUUACAUUCGAUAAUAUUGGGGACAAGGAAUGAAACAAAACCAUGAAAGUAAUGUCCUGACUCCUGAAAGGAAUAAAGGAUAUAGAUGUAGUCCAACUAAUCGAAAUGGAAAUAAUGUUUCAUUUCUUUCUUGCUUUACUAUUCUGUCAGAAAUAUCUGUUUAUAUCAAAACUUUAUAGUCCUUUCCACAUACCUUGAGUGUGAUUUUUCAUUUCUUGUCACUACGACUAAGUACAUUAUUUGAGACCAAGUUGUUUGACUUGUUGGAAUUUGCAGUGUCAAGUGCUUUAAUUAGGACCAUAUUGCUAAUUGUCAUGCUUAUAAGGCACUGCUGAUUGUUAUUUGAUUAGUUUUUUAUUUUUACGAGUGGGUGGGUGGGCUGUGUGUGCUUGAGAUGAAGUCUGGUCUUUCCUGAAUGGAGUCACUUACAUUAAGCUACUUUGUGCUAGUUAUGAUGCCUUUUAAUAAAUCUAACUUGUGACCUGUUCGUAUCAAGAGACUUCUAUUUUUACCUGUUAUCCAGUCAAUCACUUUGUGAGUACAACCUGGUUAGCUAACCCUUUUUUUCAAUCUAUCUUCUUUCAGGGAAUGAAGCUUUUACCCACUGGCAGAAAGAGUUCGCUCGCUAUUUUUGCCUACUCUACAGUUGUGAGUAUUAAUUAGACUAUUGCCUAUCGCCAAGAUUUCUACUUGAUUUUGACCUCAUGUCUCUAGAUCACUGAUUCAUGACAAUCUUUCAACAACAGGUUGGCAUGACGACAUAUUUUCUGCACUAUUUGUCGGGUCUGUUGCGCUCAGUCCUCGUGGAAAUUGGAAUUGCCGAAGACAUGCAUAAUCCUGUAUGUAAGUUCGUCAUUUGGGUUACCAUCAAUGGUCCUUUUGGUUUCUUUCAUUUUCCCCUGCAUUUACAUAUUUAUAAGGGAAUGAUGAUGACAUUUUAACAGUGGUACAAUCUUUUGUAUUGCUGCACGACUUCCCGCUUUUCUGGCUUCUGCAUUUCAUCUGCUGUUCUGUCUUAUAGACAUCUAUGAAGUACAAUUUAGUAAUACUAUAACUUUCUUGCGGCAUAUGUUUACUGAAUUACUGUGCUUGUUUUCUUGAGUUCUAUUGGGGAAUAGUCUACUCUACCUUUUCUGUCAUAGCAAAUCGAUGUGGUAACAUAAAACUGUUUACAAAGAUGGCAAUGUAUUUGUCUCAUAUUCUAUUAGUAACUUGAUAUUCAUAUCAUGACAUUAAAUUGUGGAUAAUAUUAAUGUUUAAUCAUGCAGUAAUAUUGUUCUGUUAUUUUUUCAUCAUUUUUCUUACGAUAAACUAAUGUAAAAGAUAUAUAAUUGCAGCUAGGAAUAUUCCUUCUCGUAUUGGUCGUCUUAGCUGGAGCCUGGUUUGGUUACUGGGGCGUCCGUAAACUUGUCCUGACGGAAGAUGGAUCUGUUGACGAGGGUGUGGCUUAUUUUGUUGAGUGGGCUAUCUUGAUUGUUUCAGCUGUUAUGAUCCUUCAGGUAUUCCUUGCCUACUGUCGUUUCAACAUUGUACUUGUUUGCUUAUCUGUUUAUUGACAUGCUAAUUCUUGCUUCGUCUUUCUGUAGAGUUCUCUGGACUAUCUCUUUGCCUUUGCAGCUUUGGUCUUUUGUGUUGUCAUCAAAGGAAUUGCAAGAAUUGAGGGAAAGUCAAGAUUUUUACGCUUUUUUUCACGGUAUGAUAAACUCUACUUGAUAUGUCAAAUAUCAGCUUGAUAGUUCUAAUAUUUGUUUUUUUUUGCACAUGGUUUUUGGCACAAUAUUAGAUAUACACGACCCAUCAGUUGGGGUUCAACCUGCUCAUUGGAAGUGUUGAGGUUAAGGUUAUAUGUUGGAUCAAUUUUGCUAUUAGAAGAAUACUAUUCUGUCUGUUCUUUAUUGUUGGUAUUUUCGGUGUGAAAAGGUUAACUUUUUUGGUUGAUGUUUAUACAAAUUUAAGAAGAUGCCUCAACUGUCCAUACCUUAUUUACUAUUUAGACCAUGUUUCUAAUGCUGGAAUGGUUUCCAUUUACUUUGGAAUUGAACUCUUACAACACUUUAUUGAAAUUUCUUCAAAGCUGUUGCAGAUUUUCCAAAUGGAGUGUACACUAUUGUAUAGGACCCAGUCUUUUGCUUCACUGGUCACUAGGAUUAAAGACGUGUAACUUAGGAUAUAAGCACAUUGAAUCAGAUAGCAGUACUCCUUCCGUUUAACAGACUUCAUAGGACCACACGUUCUUU